rnacentral:rRNA from 1 species
AGUGAACGCUGGCGGUAGGCCUAACACAUGCAAGUCGAACGGCAGCACAGUAAGAGCUUGCUCUUACGGGUGGCGAGUGGCGGACGGGUGAGGAAUACAUCGGAAUCUACUUUUUCGUGGGGGAUAACGUAGGGAAACUUACGCUAAUACCGCAUACGACCCACGGGUGAAAGCAGGGGAUCUUCGGACCUUGCGCGAUUGAAUGAGCCGAUGUCGGAUUAGCUAGUUGGCGGGGUAAAGGCCCACCAAGGCGACGAUCCGUAGCUGGUCUGAGAGGAUGAUCAGCCACACUGGAACUGAGACACGGUCCAGACUCCUACGGGAGGCAGCAGUGGGGAAUAUUGGACAAUGGGCGCAAGCCUGAUCCAGCCAUACCGCGUGGGUGAAGAAGGCCUUCGGGUUGUAAAGCCCUUUUGUUGGGAAAGAAAAGCAGCAGGUUAAUACCCCGCUGUUCUGACGGUACCCAAAGAAUAACCACCGGCUAACUUCGUG